rnacentral:rRNA from 1 species
UACGGGGGGGGCAAGCGUUGUUCGGAAUUACUGGGCGUAAAGGGCUCGUAGGCGGCCAACUAAGUCAGAUGUGAAAUCCCCAGGCUCAACCUGGGAACUGCGUCUGAUACUGGAUGGCUUGAAUUCGGGAGAGGGAUGCAGAAUUCCAGGUGUAGCGGUGAAAUGCGUAGAUAUCUGGAGGAACACCGGUGGCGAAGGCGGCAUCCUGGACCGGUAUUGACGCUGAGGCGCGAAAGCUAGGGGAGCAAACGGG